AUUGAACGCUGGCGGCAUGCUUUACACAUGCAAGUCGAACGGUAACAGGGAGCUUGCUCCGCUGACGAGUGGCGAACGGGUGAGUAAUGUAUCGGAACGUACCCAAGAGUGGGGGAUAACGUAGCGAAAGUUACGCUAAUACCGCAUACGAUCCAAGGAUGAAAGUGGGGGACCGCAAGGCCUCAUGCUCCUGGAGCGGCCGAUAUCUGAUUAGCUAGUUGGUGAGGUAAAGGCUCACCAAGGCAACGAUCAGUAGCUGGUCUGAGAGGACGACCAGCCACACUGGGACUGAGACACGGCCCAGACUCCUACGGGAGGCAGCAGUGGGGAAUUUCGGACAAUGGGGGCAACCCUGAUCCAGCAAUGCCGCGUGAGUGAAGAAGGCCUUCGGGUUGUAAAGCUCUUUUGUCAGGGAAGAAACGGGAGUGGCUAAUAUCCAUUUCUAAUGACGGUACCUGAAGAAUAAGCACCGGCUAACUACGUGCCAGCAGCCGCAGUAAAAC
rnacentral:rRNA from 1 species